UUUGUGAAAUAUGCAUGCUCGUGAUCUGGUUUGUUUUUCGCUUCUUUGAGAUCUUCUUGCGAGCUUAAUUUAUUGUAUGAAAACCCCCGCCACUCCAAGUUUCGGCCACCAACGUGCAGCCCAGCUUAGAAAUUGUUAAAUUGUCAUAAUAAAUUUCUAAACCAAUUGCAAACAUGCUGCUCGUCUUGUUAACCCAAUUAAUUCAGGUUUUGUUGGCAGUUUGUAUUUCCUUAAUUAAUUUGUUGCUGCUGCGGACCAGUGUUUGGAGACGGUGGUGGAAAGGGCUGUAGCAUUGGAGUGCCCUAUAUAUGGGCGUAGCAAAUUCUGGGGAGGAUAAAGAGCAGGAGCGCGCAGUUGGCACAGAUAUUGAAGAGAUAGGUAGCAUUAUCAAUGCAGACGAGGAAGAACCGGGUGCAAACUGUAAAGAAUGAAGAGGGCUUCAGAAGAUUAGUGCCCCCUCCCCUCCGAUUGCUGCUGAUUGCAUCGAGAGAAUUAAGAGCUCCGAUCCCACUCAACCAUGACAUGAAGGUGGAGCAAUGCAGUUGAGAACUAUAUGCCUAUAAAUAGGCUGCUACCCCAGGUCAUGAAGAACAAGAUGAAUCAUCAGACAACAUGUCACCAUGCUGGAAACUGCAUCAACAAGUGUAACUGUACUAGGAAUCUGCACAGUCGAGCUGACUGAUAACAUCUGAGAAAUCAUCCUCAUGGUUGGCCUAGAUUGUGGAUUCGCACGUAAGCAAGCAGCUGCGCAAGUUACAAUCUUUUUCAGUUGGUCCUCAACUUCAACUGUGGGCGUUGAAAGGCGUUGGUCCAAUAUGUCCUUCAGCUGUAUGUUAGCAGAGGGAGACGAUGCAGUAGAGAUGAAAUCAGCAGGAUGAUUUCCUUUGAUUACUUCAAGUGCCAACACUCCAAAGCUAUACACGUCACAUUUCUCGGUCACCUUCAUUG